CUCUCUCUCUCUCUCUCUCUCUCUCUCUCUCUCUUUACAACCCCACCCCCAUUGCCUCCCCUCUUCAUACCCAGGCUAACACCACCAGCUGUCACUUUUCAGGAAGUUUUUGUAGAAGUAGCUAAGUUAAUAUAACAAUGGUUGAAUUGAACAGUCUGAAAUUUACUUCUCCUCUCACUAGGAACAGAGAUGGAGAAAUCAAGCCCAAGUGACUGUAAGUUACCUGACAGAAGCCAUCAAGUAAGUGAUAAUGAUAAAAUUGAGUCCAGAUGAUUCCUGAGUCCAGGUUCAUCACUCUUUCCACCACGUUAAAGCUAGAAUAGGUUUGUGAGGAACACCAACGUUUAGAAGUGUUUUCAUCAGUGUGAAUUUCUUUCAUCUGUAAGGAAGCUGUUUCAGUAUCUAUGGCCUUUUUCUGAGCAAAUGUCAAAAUCUGCUCAGUAGGGAAACAUCAAUGAAGUGCUUCAUCUUCAACGCUCUAGCCAAUCUUGGAGGAUAUAAUUGAUGAAACCACCACAGUCUCAAUGAGACUGAUUCUUGCAGAGGCCAAGAGACCCCAGCCAACAAAUUAUGAAGAGACCUGUUGCAUGAAUUACUCAGUUUGAUACCUGAGGAUUAUAUCCUAAUAUGCCCUGAAUAAUUCUGACUUUACAAUUGACAUUGAACUUUGCAUCUUGCAUAGAUGUCAAAAUGAAAGAAGAGCUCAUUGAUAAGUUGUGGAGAGAACAACUAAGUACUGAAAGAGUUUCUUCAAGAACUAAGCCUUUAAUAGUUGUGAAUGACCUGAUAAUUUUUAAGGACAAACAGCAAAUUGAAAAACAGAAGCAUGAAAUCCCAUCACAUUUCUCUAAGACAUACUAGUAAACUUGGGAGCCAUUUGCAUCUUA